CGGGCCCCGCCGUCGCCUGGUAACCGCCGCUCGGCGGGCGGAGGGCGGCCCCGGCAGCGCCGCGGUCAGGUGGCAGCCCCAGAAGGGAGACGGAGCCCGGCUGCCGACCGAUAAAAGAAGAAGUCCUGCCCCGCCGCCGCCGCCGCCGACGACCGGGAGGGAAGCGCGGAGCCGCCGCCACCACCGAGGAGGAGCCAUGUUCAGCGUUGGAUACGCUCUAUGAGACAUCCCAGCUUCGGCAGCCCACAGCAUCUGCGUGCCGGUCGGUGAUUUGGAGGAGGACAGUUUGUUACGGAGCUGACUAAGCGGAGGAAGCUCUUGCUGUCCUAGCACCACCGGGCCAGACAAUCCUUCCCUUGGCUGAAGAUCCCGUUGGAUCUCUUCCCAUAAUGGAAG
rnacentral:lncRNA from 1 species